rnacentral:rRNA from 1 species
UAAGGAAUAUUGCUCAAUGGGAGAAAUCCUGAAGCAGCAACGCCGCGUGGAGGAUGAAGGGUCUAUGACUUGUAAACUCCUGUAAAGAAGGAAAAAAUUCCCAUUUGAUGGGAGAUGAUGGUACUUCUGGAGUAAGCCCCGGCUAACUACGUGCCAGCAGCCGCGGUAAUACGUAGGGGGCAAGCGUUGUCCGGAUUUACUGGGUGUAAAGGGUGCUCAGGCGGAUUUGUAAGUCAGAGGUGAAAUCUUACAGCUUAACUGUGAAACUGCCUUUGAUACUGCAAGCCUAGAGUAUGGAAGAGAGUGAUGGAAUAUCUGGUGUAGCAGUGAAAUGCGUAGAUAUCAGAUAGAACACCAAUGGCGGAGGCAGUCACUUGGUCCAUUACUGACGCUAAAGCACGAAAGCGUGGGUAGCAAACA